rnacentral:rRNA from 1 species
UACGGGGGGAGCAAGCGUUGUUCGGAUUUACUGGGCGUAAAGGGCGCGUAGGCGGCCACCGCAAGUCGACUGUGAAAUCUCCGGGCUUAACCCGGAAAGGUCAGCCGAUACUGCGGGCUAGAGUGCAGAAGGGGCAACUGGAAUUCUCGGUGUAGCGGUGAAAUGCGUAGAUAUCGAGAGGAACACCUGCGGCGAAGGCGGGAUGCUGGCUGACACUGACGCUGAUGCGCGAAGCUAGGGAGCGA